AAAUUGAAGAGUUUGAUCAUGGCUCAGAUUGAACGCUGGCGGCAGGCCUAACACAUGCAAGUCGAACGGUAACAGGAAGCAGCUUGCUGCUUCGCUGACGAGUGGCGGACGGGUGAGUAAUGUCUGGGAAGCUGCCUGAUGGAGGGGGAUAACUACUGGAAACGGUAGCUAAUACCGCAUAAUGUCGCAAGACCAAAGAGGGGGACCUUCGGGCCUCUUGCCAUCGGAUGUGCCCAGAUGGGAUUAGCUUGUUGGUGGGGUAACGGCUCACCAAGGCGACGAUCCCUAGCUGGUCUGAGAGGAUGACCAGCCACACUGGAACUGAGACACGGUCCAGACUCCUACGGGAGGCAGCAGUGGGGAAUAUUGCACAAUGGGCGCAAGCCUGAUGCAGCCAUGCCGCGUGUAUGAAGAAGGCCUUCGGGUUGUAAAGUACUUUCAGCGGGGAGGAAGGGAGUAAAGUUAAUACCUUUGCUCAUUGACGUUACCCGCAGAAGAAGCACCGGCUAACUCCGUGCCAGCAGCCGCGGUAAUACGGAGGGUGCAAGCGUUAAUCGGAAUUACUGGGCGUAAAGCGCACGCAGGCGGUUUGUUAAGUCAGAUGUGAAAUCCCCGGGCUCAACCUGGGAACUGCAUCUGAUACUGGCAAGCUUGAGUCUCGUAGAGGGGGGUGGAAUUCCAGGUGUAGCGGUGAAAUGCGUAGAGAUCUGGAGGAAUACCGGUGGCGAAGGCGGCCCCUGGACGAAGACUGACGCUCAGGUGCGAAAGCGUGGGGAGCAAACAGGAUUAGAUACCCUGGUAGUCCACGCCGUAAACGAUGUCGACUUGGAGGUUGUGCCCUUGAGGCGUGGCUUCCGGAGCUAACGCGUUAAGUCGACCGCCUGGGGAGUACGGCCGCAAGGUUAAAACUCAAAUGAAUUGACGGGGGCCCGCACAAGCGGUGGAGCAUGUGGUUUAAUUCGAUGCAACGCGAAGAACCUUACCUGGUCUUGACAUCCACGGAAGUUUUCAGAGAUGAGAAUGUGCCUUCGGGAACCGUGAGACAGGUGCUGCAUGGCUGUCGUCAGCUCGUGUUGUGAAAUGUUGGGUUAAGUCCCGCAACGAGCGCAACCCUUAUCCUUUGUUGCCAGCGGUCCGGCCGGGAACUCAAAGGAGACUGCCAGUGAUAAACUGGAGGAAGGUGGGGAUGACGUCAAGUCAUCAUGGCCCUUACGACCAGGGCUACACACGUGCUACAAUGGCGCAUACAAAGAGAAGCGACCUCGCGAGAGCAAGCGGACCUCAUAAAGUGCGUCGUAGUCCGGAUUGGAGUCUGCAACUCGACUCCAUGAAGUCGGAAUCGCUAGUAAUCGUGGAUCAGAAUGCCACGGUGAAUACGUUCCCGGGCCUUGUACACACCGCCCGUCACACCAUGGGAGUGGGUUGCAAAAGAAGUAGGUAGCUUAACCUUCGGGAGGGCGCUUACCACUUUGUGAUUCAUGACUGGGGUGAAGUCGUAACAAAGGUAACCGUAGGGGAACCUGCGGUUGGAUCACCUCCUUA
rnacentral:rRNA from 1 species